rnacentral:rRNA from 1 species
UUCGGGUCGUAAAAGGCUCUGUCCCUCAAAGGAAGAUAAUGACGGUACUUGAGGAGGAAGCCCCGGCUAAACUACGUGCCAGCAGCCGCGGUAAUNUCGUAGGGGGCUAGCGUUAUCCCGGAAUUACUGGGCGUAAAGGGUGCGUAGGUGGUUUUUUAAGUCAGAAGUGAAAGGCUACGGCUCAACCGUAGUAAGCUUUUGAAACUAGAGAACUUGAGUGCAGGAGAGGAGAGUAGAAUUCCUAGUGUAGCGGUGAAAUGCGUAGAUAUUAGGAGGAAUACCAGUAGCGAAGGCGGCUCUCUGGACUGUAACUGACACUGAGGCACGAAAGCGUGGGGAGCAAACAGGAUUAGAUACCCUGGUAGUCCACGCCGUAAACGAUGAGUACUAGGUGUCGGGGGUUACCCCCCUCGGUGCCGCAGCUAAACGCANUAAGUACUCCGCCUGGGAAGUACGCUCGCAAGAGUGAAACUCAAAGGAAAUUGACGGGGACCCGCACAAGUAGCGGAGCAUGUGGUUUAAUUCGAAGCAACGCGAAGAACCUUACCUAAGCUUGACAUCCCACUGACCUCUCCCUAAUCGGAGAUUUCCCUUCGGGGACAGUGGUGACAGGUGGUGCAUGGUUGUCGUCAGCUCGUGUCGUGAGAUGUUGGGUUAAGUCCCGCAACGAGCGCAACCCUUGCCUUUAGUUGCCAGCAUUAAGUUGGGCACUCUAGAGGGACUGCCGAGGAUAACUCGGAGGAAGGUGGGGAUGACGUCAAAUCAUCAUGCCCCUUAUGCUUAGGGCUACACACGUGCUACAAUGGGUGGUACAGAGGGUUGCCAAGCCGCGAGGUGGAGCUAAUCCCUUAAAGCCAUUCUCAGUUCGGAUUGUAGGCUGAAACUCGCCUACAUGAAGCUGGAGUUACUAGUAAUCGCAGAUCAGAAUGCUGCGGUGAAUGCGUUCCCGGGCUCUUGUACACACCGCCCGUCACACCAUGGAAGUUGGGGGCGCCCGNAAGCCGGUUAGCUAACCUUUUAGGAAGCGGCCGUCGAAGGUGAAACCAAUGACUGGGGUGAAGUCGUAACAAGGUAACCA